UACGGAGGGUGCAAGCGUUAUCCGGAUUCACUGGGUUUAAAGGGUGCGUAGGCGGGUAGGUAAGUCAGUGGUGAAAUCCUGGAGCUCAACUCCAGAACUGCCAUUGAUACUAUCUAUCUUGAAUAUUGUGGAGGUAAGCGGAAUAUGUCAUGUAGCGGUGAAAUGCUUAGAUAUGACAUAGAACACCCAUUGCGAAGGCAGCUUACUACGCAUAUAUUGACGCUGAGGCACGAAAGCGUGGGGAUCAAACAGGAUUAGAUACCCUGGUAGUCCACGCCCUAAACUAUGGAUACUCGACAUAUGCGAUACACUGUAUGUGUCUGAGCGAAAGCAUUAAGUAUCCCACCUGGGAAGUACGUUCGCAAGAAUGAAACUCAAAGGAAUUGGCGGGGGUCCGCACAAGCGGUGGAGUAUGUGGUUUAAUUCGAUGAUACGCGAGGAACCUUACCUGGGCUAGAAUGCUGGGAGACCGCUAGUGAAAGCUAGUUUUGUAGCAAUACACUGCCAGUAAGGUGCUGCAUGGCCGUCGUCAGCUCGUGCCGUGAGGUGUUGGGUUAAGUCCCGCAACGAGCGCAACCCCUAUCUUUAGUUGCCAACAGGUAAUGCUGGGAACUCUAAAGAAACUGCCGCCGUAAGGUGUGAGGAAGGAGGGGAUGAUGUCAGGUCAUCAUGGCCUUUAUGCCCAGGGCUACACACGUACUACAAUGGGGGAGACAAAGGGCUGCAACAUAGCUAUAUGAAGCCAAUCCCAAAAACUCCCUCUCAGUUCAGAUUGCAGGCUGCAACUCGCCUGCAUGAAGCUGGAAUCGCUAGUAAUCGUAUAUCAGCAAUGAUACGGUGAAUACGUUCCCGGACCU
rnacentral:rRNA from 1 species